CAGGUAGAUAGGUUUGGAGUGGAAGUGUAGCGAUACAUGGAGCGGACAAAUACUAAUCGAUCGAGGACUUAACCAAAA
rnacentral:rRNA from 1 species